CUCAGCUUCCCCGUUCUCCCCAAAGAGGCUUAAACAUGGACUCCACUGACGUCCUUGCUGUGACCCAGGCCGUAAAAAACAAGUUCCCCUCAGCUGUGGACUUUCUUGGAGCUCCAGAGAUCCACCCAGCAAGCUUUAACCUCAUUUGAAGGAUUCCAGCAGCAGGUUUGGAUGUGUCGGAGUUUCCAGACGGCCUUUAAACGCAUCAUGAUGUAAGCGGCUGCACUGACGGGGAAUAAAACACCUGAGCAGGUGUGCUGCUGCUGCUGCUGCCAACAGGAUGUCCUGCUGCUCUGGCUGCUGCGGAUCAGGAAGAAGGAAGAGGAGGAGGAAGAUGGACGUGUCUGUGCUCAGAGAAGAGUAUCGGAGCUCCAGAGAGAGGAGGAGGAGGCACACUCAGGUGCUGCUGUUCAGGACAGGUGAGAGGAAACGCCGUCUGAUCCACUUCCUGUUUGACUUUGGACAAAAUCUUUAAACUCA
ensembl:lncRNA